UACUCCUACGGGGAGGCAGCAGUAGGGAAUCUUCCGCAAUGGGCGAAAGCCUGACGGAGCAAUGCCGCGUGAGUGAUGAAGGUUUUCGGAUCGUAAAGCUCUGUUGCCAGGGAAGAACGCUUGGGAGAGUAACUGCUCUCAAGGUGACGGUACCUGAGAAGAAAGCCCCGGCUAACUACGUGCCAGCAGCCGCGGUAAUACGUAGGGGGCAAGCGUUGUCCGGAAUUAUUGGGCGUAAAGCGCGCGCAGGCGGUCAUGUAAGUCUGGUGUUUAAUCCCGGGGCUCAACCCCGGAUCGCACUGGAAACUGCGUGACUUGAGUGCAGAAGAGGAGAGUGGAAUUCCACGUGUAGCGGUGAAAUGCGUAGAGAUGUGGAGGAACACCAGUGGCGAAGGCGACUCUCUGGGCUGUAACUGACGCUGAGCGCGAAUGCUGCUC
rnacentral:rRNA from 1 species